GAUCAGGUAGGGAUACCCGGAACCUUUAA
rnacentral:rRNA from 1 species